rnacentral:rRNA from 1 species
CACGUAGGGUGCAAGCGUUGUCCGGAAUCAUUGGGCGUAAAGAGCUCGUAGGCGGCUUAGUAAGUCGGGUGUGAAAACUCUAGGCUCAACCUAGAGACGCCACCCGAUACUGCUAUAGCUAGAAUCCAGUAGGGGAGUGUGGAAUUCCCAGUGUAGCGGUGAAAUGCGCAGAUAUUGGGAGGAACACCAGCGGCGAAGGCGGCACUCUGGGCUGGUAUUGACGCUGAGGCGCGAAAGCGUGGGGAGCGAACAGG